rnacentral:rRNA from 1 species
GACGAACGCUGGCGGCGUGCCUAAUACAUGCCAGUUGAGCGAUGAAGAUUGGUGCUUGCACCAAUUUGAAGAGCAGCGAACGGGUGAGUAACGCGUGGGGAAUCUGCCUUUGAGCGGGGGACAACAUUUGGAAACGAAUGCUAAUACCGCAUAACAACUUUAAACAUAAGUUUUAAGUUUGAAAGAUGCAAUUGCAUCACUCAAAGAUGAUCCCGCGUUGUAUUAGCUAGUUGGUGAGGUAAAGGCUCACCAAGGCGAUGAUACAUAGCCGACCUGAGAGGGUGAUCGGCCACACUGGGACUGAGACACGGCCCAAACCCCUACGGGAGGCAGCAGUAGGGAAUCUUCGGCAAUGGACGAAAGUCUGACCGAGCAACGCCGCGUGAGUGAAGAAGGUUUUCGGAUCGUAAAACUCUGUUGGUAGAGAAGAACGUUGGUGAGAGUGGAAAGCUCAUCAAGUGACGGUAACUACCCAGAAAGGGACGGCUAACUACGUG